rnacentral:rRNA from 1 species
AUUGAACGCUGGCGGCAUGCCUUACACAUGCAAGUCGAACGGCAGCAUGGGUGCUUGCACCUGAUGGCGAGUGGCGAACGGGUGAGUAAUGCAUCGGAACGUACCCGGAAGUGGGGGAUAACGUAGCGGAAGUUACGCUAAUACCGCAUAUUCUGUGAGCAGGAAAGCGGGGGAUCGCAAGACCUCGCGCUUCCGGAGCGGCCGAUGUCGGAUUAGCUAGUUGGCGGGGUAAAGGCCCACCAAGGCAACGAUCCGUAGCGGGUCUGAGAGGAUGAUCCGCCACACUGGGACUGAGACACGGCCCAGGCUCCUACGGGAGGCAGCAGUGGGGAAUUUUGGACAAUGGGCGCAAGCCUGAUCCAGCCAUGCCGCGUGAGUGAAAAAGGCCUUCGGGUUGUAAAGCUCUUUCGGCUGGGAAGAAAUCGCAUCUCCUAAUACGGGGUGUGGAUGGCGGUACCAGCAUAAGAAGCACCGGCUAACUACGUGCCAGCAGCCGCGGUAAUACGUAGGGUGCGAGCGUUAAUCGGAAUUACUGGGCGUAAAGCGUGCGCAGGCGGUUUCGUAGGACAGAGGUGAAAUCCCCGGGCUCAACCUGGGAACUGCCUUUGUGACUGCGAAGCUAGAGUAUGGCAGAGGGGGGUGGAAUUCCACGUGUAGCAGUGAAAUGCGUAGAGGUGUGGAGGAACACCGAUGGCGAAGGCAGCCCCCUGGGCCAAUACUGACGCUCAUGCACGAAAGCGUGGGGAGCAAACAGGAUUAGAUACCCUGGUAGUCCACGCCCUAAACGAUGUCAACUAGGUGUUGGGGGGGUUAAACCUUUUAGUACCGUAGCUAACGCGUGAAGUUGACCGCCUGGGGAGUACGGCCGCAAGGUUAAAACUCAAAGGAAUUGACGGGGACCCGCACAAGCGGUGGAUGAUGUGGAUUAAUUCGAUGCAACGCGAAAAACCUUACCUACCCUUGACAUGCCAGGAACUUGCCAGAGAUGGCUUGGUGCCCGAAAGGGGACCUGGACACAGGUGCUGCAUGGCUGCCGUCAGCUCGUGUCGUGAGAUGUUGGGUUAAGUCCCGCAACGAGCGCAACCCUUGUCAUUAGUUGCCAUCAUUUAGUUGGGCACUCUAAUGAGACUGCCGGUGACAAACCGGAGGAAGGUGGGGAUGACGUCAAGUCCUCAUGGCCCUUAUGGGUAGGGCUUCACACGUCAUACAAUGGUCGGUACAGAGGGUUGCCAAGCCGCGAGGUGGAGCCAAUCCCAGAAAGCCGAUCGUAGUCCGGAUCGUAGUCUGCAACUCGACUACGUGAAGUCGGAAUCGCUAGUAAUCGCGGAUCAGCAUGUCGCGGUGAAUACGUUCCCGGGUCUUGUACACACCGCCCGUCACACCAUGGGAGCGGGUUCUACCAGAAGCAGUUAGCCUAACCGCAAGGGGGGCGAUUGCCACGGUAGGAUUCGUGACUGGGGUG